CGUCCGUCACGGGCGCGGAGUCGAUCGUCCGGUCGCUCGAGGCGGCCGGGACCGAGGUCGUCUUCGGCAUCCCCGGCGGUGCGAUCCUGCCGACGUACGACC
rnacentral:tRNA from 1 species